CGGCCCAGACUCCUACGGGAGGCAGCAGUGGGGAAUAUUGCACAAUGGGGGAAACCCUGAUGCAGCGACGCCGCGUGGAGGAAGAAGGUCUUCGGAUUGUAAACUCCUGUUGUUGAGGAAGAUAAUGACGGUACUCAACAAGGAAGUGACGGCUAACUACGUGCCAGCAGCCGCGGUAAAACGUAGGUCACAAGCGUUGUCCGGAAUUACUGGGUGUAAAGGGAGCGCAGGCGGGAGAACAAGUUGGAAGUGAAAUCCAUGGGCUCAACCCAUGAACUGCUUUCAAAACUGUUUUUCUUGAGUAGUGCAGAGGUAGGCGGAAUUCCCGGUGUAGCGGUGGAAUGCGUAGAUAUCGGGAGGAACACCAGUGGCGAAGGCGGCCUACUGGGCACCAACUGACGCUGAGGCUCGAAAGUGUGGGUAGCAAACAGGAUUAGAUACCCUGGUAGUCCACACCGUAAACGAUGAUUACUAGGUGUUGGAGGAUUGACCCCUUCAGUGCCGCAGUUAACACAAUAAGUAAUCCACCUGGGGAGUACGACCGCAAGGUUGAAACUCAAAGGAAUUGACGGGGGCCCGCACAAGCAGUGGAGUAUGUGGUUUAAUUCGACGCAACGCGAAGAACCUUACCAAGUCUUGACAUCCCUUGACGAUACUGGAAACAGUAUUUCUCUUCGGAGCAAGGAGACAGGUGGUGCAUGGUUGUCGUCAGCUCGUGUCGUGAGAUGUUGGGUUAAGUCCCGCAACGAGCGCAACCCU
rnacentral:rRNA from 1 species